GCCAUUCAGCUUUGGGGCAGUACUUCCGUUGCCUCUACUGUUUCCUUCAAUUAAAUGUUUUUCAAAGAGCCCUACCUCACCUUUUCCAACGUCUCAGCUAUUCUUGGAGUUACUCCAGGCUGUUAACAUCUUGUCCUGUGCUUUUUGCUGACUAGGGGAAUGCACUGCAUGUAACCAACAGUAGUCAUCUGCUAAAGGUUGCAUCAGUGAUAGAUACAUUACAUCAUUCCUUAGGCUGUUCAUUUCCUGC
rnacentral:lncRNA from 1 species